AAAAGUUUUAUUUUGGCUUGGUAAUUUGGUUUAAUUUUAUUUUACAUGUAAAUUUAAGUGGGAAUAGCAAAUAUUUUAGAAAAAUAUUUAUUGUUUUAUUUUUUCGCAGUAGAGAAAUUUAAAUAUUAGUGAAAGCUAGAUUUAGGAAUAAUUUUUACUACUAACAAAGUUUGUGCCAGCAGUUGCGGUUACACAAACAGUAGAAUUAAAUUUUUUUGGUUUCAUUAAUUUGUAAAUAAAUGGUUAUAAAGAAAAAUUUAUUAGGUGAAAUUUUAAAUUUUUAAAAAACUUUGUUUCUUGAAAAAUUGGGAAAUUUAGGUAAUAAACUAGGAUUAGAGACCCUAUUAUUCUAAACGUUAAUUUAAGGCCAGAUUAGUAUUAGCUAUGUUCUUGAAAAUUAAAAAUUUUGGCGGUAUUUUAGUCUAUUCAGAGGAACCUGUCCUAUAAUUGAUGAUCCACGAUAAGAGAUACUUUUUCUUUAAGUUUAUAUAUCGUCGUAGUUAGAGUAUUUUUAUAGAAAGUAAAUAUUCAAGAUUUUUUUAAAAAAGGAAAUCAGAUCAAGGUGUAGCUUAUGAAAAAGGGGGAGAUGGGUUACAUUAGAUUUAUUUAUGGGGAUUAGUUAAUUUAUUUGACUAUGAAUUUGGAUUUGAUAGUAAUUUUGAUUAUUUUUUUAAAGUGACUUUAGCUCUAAAAUAUGCACAUAUCGCCCGUCGCUUUCACUUUAAAGUGAAAUAAGUCGUAACAAAGUAGGCUUACUGGAAGGUGGGCCUAGAA
rnacentral:ncRNA from 1 species